AAAAAAAAUGUAAUUAUAAUUUUAAUUUCAGUAACAAAUAUUUAUUUCACAGUGUUACUUACCACAUGUAACAUUGGCUGGGACGACUGGUACCGGAGCUCACGUUAGCGCAUUCAGUACAGACCCGGUGCAGCCUCAGGGCCGCGAUGCUGCACUUAGCAUAGCUUAUUAGCUUAGCUCCUUAGCCUCAGCUAACUGGGAAGUUUCGACGUAGCUGGGCGUGUUUCAGCGACCGGUCUGCAUUCGGCCCACCUCUUUGUCCAUAUUCUGAUUAGCCCGGUAAUGGAGGAGUCGGACCCUGUGUACUGAAAUAACAUUUUGUACUGGUGUAUUGAAAUAACACUUUGCACUGAACUAACAUAUAGCUAACUAAUGACAUAUAGCUAAAUAAUGGAAUAACAUGUAGCUAAAUAAAUACUGACACCUAUAAAGCUUGACAUACGUUAUACUUAAGAUUUUAUAACAAAUCUUGCAGAGCCUGCACUACGUGCAUAAGACUAAUUAACAUACAGACAGUAGAUGUCACAAGAUGUUCCCUUCAGACCAAAUUUAGCCUAGGACACAGACCAAAUUUAUCUUAGGACAGCAAAAUAAUUACACAAUAACGAUUACGAUAAGUCCAGACACAUAGUCAGGCGGUUCACCCACGUACAGACCGCACCCACCAUGCGGGAUAAAUAGCAAAUUAACUAUUGUACCAGGUUCCUGUCCUCUGCGCGAUCCAGCCCUGGUUGGUGACUCGUGAGACAGAAACCCAGAGACUCUGUAAGUAUUGUUAUUGCUUGGAGCAAAUAAACAUGAUUUGAU